CCCGCGGGCCGUGACUGGCGCGCUGGGAUGGGACCGACCAUCGGGGAGCGGCCCCUGGGCACCGCCCAGCACCGAGUGCCGUGCGCCUGGGCCGUACCG
rnacentral:ncRNA from 24 species